AAAAAGACAUUUCUGUGACAUUCAGAUGGGGCCUACCUGAAUUUACAAAAGAAGUGAUACAAGCAAAAAAUUUGGACAAGACCUGGAUAAAAGGAUACACAGUGCAGUGUUGGUUUAUCGAGAAUCAAAAAAAGAUUGAAAUCUGCGAUGAUAGAAGGAUC